CAGCAACUGCUUUGCUGGAAUUUCCUAUUUAAAAUAGUGUGGUACAUUCACAUAUUCAAAUAGAACUUUUCAGCUGUGAAGUUGUCAGUGUUCUGAAUGAGCUGCAGUGAUACCUUCAGGGUUCUUGCAGAACUGUGAUACCUGUCUUCAAGGGGUGUAUGUGAAGAUUUAAUAAAGAUGUGUUUGUAGAUUUUAGCUUCAGCCAGUCACCAUCUCUUAUCAUUAGUUUCUCCUGCAAACUUAAUUUUUCAAGGUAAUAAGCUUUGAAGGAGUUGCUUGUGAACACAGGAUUUGUGCUGUCUGAUUGUAACUGUGAUUCUGCUGCCUGAGGAAAUGUUUCAGGGUUGGGCUUGCUGCAUACAUUUGCCUUUCAGUAAGGUAGUUUGUGACUAUUAUAAUCAGUGCUUUUCUUGAACCUUCUGACAUAUAUUUUUAGCUAUUUAGCCAGUGUUAAUUGGACUGUGAGUUUUCUUUUUUCUUACAGCAUUUGAAGAGGAGUGAGAGAAUGGUUUUAACUUCAUUUCCUGUUCUUCCUUUAAAUUCUUGAGAGCUGUGCCACACUGUUCUCUGCAGCUGAUUGACGUAAAGCUGAACCUUAUAAAGGAAGCAGGAAAAUCAUGCUUGUAUUUGGGAUUCGUAAGCUAAUUGUAUGAGGUUAUUAUUUUGUCUUUCCAUUUCAAAUAUGAGAGACACAUCAUUUCCCAAAAAUGAUAGAGAUUAGAUUGCAGUGGAAUUACAAGGUUUUUCUGCCAAAUCAUAAUUUUAAACAUACAACGUGAAAUUUCUUUUUUGCGUGUUCCAGUUUAAAACAAAACCUGUUCGGGGGGGGGAAGCAUUAGUUAUCUGAACAAAGUUUAAAACUGUAUUUAGUCAAAUUGCAGCAGUGGAAGUAAACAGCAGAUCUCAGUUUUGCACGAGAGACUGUGUCAUAUUUAUUUUUCUGCUUUUAAUUUUUCCACUAAAGCAGAAAUAGCAGGUUCAUUCCUUCAGAAAAUCUUGCAGAAACAAAAGUCCGACAGAAGACUUUGGAGGAUAACAGAAGUAACAGAAACUGGAGAGAGGUGUUGGAGGACACGUUCUCAGAUAUUCUCUUCUGAUAUUUUCCAUAGUAGGAUUUUCUAGAUAUUUUUCCAUUACUGAGUAUGUCAAGAUAUUAAUUGCUGAAGAGUUAAAGCAAUCCAAUAAAAGUUUUAAACUUGGCUGCUUUCCUUUGGACUAGGGUUAAAGUUCACAUGAAGUCAGAAGGAAAACUGGAGUUGUUUUAAGCGUGAAAGGGUGUACCAGCUUAGGUCUUGACUUCUCCAAAUACUGAAAUGAUAUCAUGCCUAUCUUCUUAAAUAACGGUUUCCAAAACAAUUUUGAAUUGUUUAUUUUUCUUUCCAGAAACAAAAAUAGCCCACCACGUCAUCCAGUCCUCUCCUCCAUUUCAGUUCUUAUUUGCUAUCAUCUAGGAACUGUUGUAAAAGGCUCAUUUUUAAUCACCAUACUGAGAAUACCAAGGAUUGUUCUCUUGUACCUUUAUAAUAUCCUAAAGCAAAAGGAAAGUACAUGUGCGAAGUGCCUGUUGAAGUGCUGUUUCUGCUGGUUGUGGUGCCAGGAAAGUUGCUUAAGAUACGUUAAUCAGGGAGACUACUGAAAUGUCCAGGUGGAAGGAAGCAAUGAAGUAAGAAACCCACCCAGAGAUGAUCUAGUUUAAGUGUCCUUAAACUAGACACAGAAUUUUUCACCUGGAAGUCCCUAUUGGAAAAAAAUGGAACUCUUGGCUGAUUUGUUAUCGAUAUACCUGGGAAUACAAUCUAAGAUGAAAAAAAAGAACGGAUUAUAUAAUAUUCUCUGUAUUUGAAAGACAUCUUUGUUUUGUUAGCAGUUUUGUUUCAGUAGGGUUUUUGUUGGAAGUAGAUGAUUUCUGAAGUGCAGCAGUUUUUCAGACACUUGAUUCCUACUCUUUCUUUCCUGAUCCUUUUCUGCAAGUGUAUAUAUACUUUUCCAACCUCUAUAUACAUCAUGUAAAUAGCCAGUUUUUAUCAGUCCCCUUUUGUUAUCUCUGGUGGCUGUGGUAUUAUUAAUGUAACAAGGAAUCAGAUGUUCAUGCUGAUUCGUAACUCCGUAUCUGCUGCUUUCUUUGUUCUCAUUGCUGAGAACAGUAGUGCAGUAAACAAGACAAUGCCAAUAAAGGGUCUGACUUCUCAUUCUAAAGUAGGUGCAUAAAUAAAGCCUACUCUUGGACAACCACGAAGAGAACAUUUUUCACUUAGUUCAACCUAGAUUAAGUAAGUAUUUGUGCAGUAAAAUCUCUGCUUCCAGCUGACGAAUUUUCCAGACUUACAUUUUUUUAGGUAGAUCUUACGGUCACCAAGUUGGUGAGGAAUCUCAGAAUUCGUUUUGACUCCAGGCUUUCCAUUUAUAGUCACUCUUUCCCCUUGGCUUCCUGCCUUCCAAAGAGAUAGCCAGCAUCAUAGCAUUUACUUUCUCCAGCUGUUGUAUGCAGUGUGUUUGUUACAAGGAGAAUUAAUUACUGUAAUGUACUUUCUUUUGUUUCAGAAAGCUGUAUUGUAGCUCUUGUUCCCUUAAAAGAUUUCCUGUUUCCUAAUCUAUUGUAGGCAAAUUUCUGUUUUUAUGCAGGUCAUGAUUUUUAGUGUAAUAAUCAUAAUACUGUGUUUGCUGUUAGAUAAUUGUUUCAACAUCUUUUUGGCAAAGAUGAUCAUGUUUCUGUGUGCUGAAAAUUGGGUAAUUUGAGAGACUAAAAAAGUGAGAGCAUU